GGGGAUAUAGCUCAGUUGGUAGAGUGCUUGUCUAGCACACUCAAGGCCCUGGGUUCAAUCCCCAGCAUCACCA